rnacentral:rRNA from 1 species
CAGAGGGUGCGAGCGUUAAUCGGAUUUACUGGGCGUAAAGCGUGUGUAGGUGGCUUCCUAAGUCGGUUGUGAAAUCCCUGGGCUCAACCUGGGAAUUGCAGUCGAUACUGGGAAGCUCGAGUUCGGUAGAGGACGGCGGAAUUCCCGGUGUAGCGGUGAAAUGCGUAGAUAUCGGGAGGAACAUCGAUGGCGAAAGCAACCGUCUGGGCCUGAACUGACACUGAGACACGAAAGCGUGGGGAGCAUACAGGAUUAGAUACCCUGGUAGUCCACGCCGUAAACGAUGAGAACCUGACGUCGGUUUGCUCUGCGAAUCGGUGUCGUAGCUAACGCGAUAAGUUCUCCGCCUGGGGAGUACGGCCGCAAGGUUG